AAUGUAUAAAAGGCUACUGCAGCUGCUUCUAAAGCAGCCAACUCUUUUAUUCCAUCACUGCUACAGCACCAUAGCCGCAUAAGUCUGUGUUAGAUGAAGAUGAAGAUACAACUGUUUGCACUGAUUUUCCUGGGCUUGGGUGGUAUGCUUGCAGUCAGUGCACGAUCAGUUGAUGACAGUUCAGCAGAUGAUGACCAAAUCCUGGUGCGCCGCUAUGCUGAAUCCACUCUUGCAAGUGAUAUCAGUAAAAUAAUGGACGCCAUGGUGCA